rnacentral:rRNA from 1 species
UCGUAGACCCGAAACCAGGUGAUCUACCCUUGGUCAGGUUGAAGUUCAGGUAACACUGAAUGGAGGACCGAACCGACUUACGUUGAAAAGUGAGCGGAUGAACUGAGGGUAGCGGAGAAAUUCCAAUCGAACCUGGAGAUAGCUGGUUCUCUCCGAAAUAGCUUUAGGGCUAGCCUCAAGUGAUGAUUAUUGGAGGUAGAGCACUGUUUGGACGAGGGGCCCCUCUCGGGUUACCGAAUUCAGACAAACUCCGAAUGCCAAUUAAUUUAACUUGGGAGUC